ACUGGCGGCAUGCUUUACACAUGCAAGUCGAACGGCAGCACGGGUGCUUGCACCUGGUGGCGAGUGGCGGACGGGUGAGUAAUGCAUCGGAACGUGUCCUGAAGUGGGGGAUAACGCAUCGAAAGAUGUGCUAAUACCGCAUAUUCUCUGAGGAGGAAAGUAGGGGAUCGAAAGACCUUAUGCUUUUGGAGCGGCCGAUGUCUGAUUAGCUAGUUGGUAGGGUAAUGGCUUACCAAGGCGACGAUCAGUAGUUGGUCUGAGAGGACGGCCAGCCACACUGGGACUGAGACACGGCCCAGACUCCUGCGGGAGGCAGCAGUGGGGAAUUUUGGACAAUGGGCGCAAGCCUGAUCCAGCAAUGCCGCGUGAGUGAAGAAGGCCUUCGGGUUGUAAAGCUCUUUCAGUUGAGAAGAAAAAGUCGUGACUAAUAAUCAUGAUUCAUGACGGUAUCAACAGAAGAAGCACCGGCUAACUACGUG
rnacentral:rRNA from 1 species